CAACCCUCAAGCUCUGCUUGGUAUUGGGCCUCCGCUGCUUACCCGGCGGGCCUUAAAAUGAGUGGCGGUGCCGCUGAGGCCUUGAGCGUAGUAAUACUCCUCGCUAUAAGGACCCGGUGGACGCUUGCCAGCAACCCCCAACUUUCUAA
rnacentral:misc_RNA from 1 species